ACGAACCGUGCGAACGCUGUUCGGAAUCACUGGGCAUAAAGGGCGCGUAGGCGGCUUAUCAAGUCAGGGGUGAAAUCCGGCAGCUCAACUGUCGAAGUGCCCUUGAUACUGAUGAGCUCGAGGGAGGUAGGGGUGUGCGGAACUUCCGGUGGAGCGGUGAAAUGCGUUGAUAUCGGAAGGAACGCCGGUGGCGAAAGCGGCGCACUGGACCUCUUCUGACGCUGAGGCGCGAAAGCCAGGGGAGCAAACGGGA
rnacentral:rRNA from 1 species